rnacentral:rRNA from 1 species
GACGAACGCUGGCGGCGUGCCUAAUACAUGCAAGUCGAGCGCAGGAAACUGACGGAACUCUUCGGAGGGAAGGCAGUGGAAUGAGCGGCGGACGGGUGAGUAACGCGUAAGGAACCUGCCUCAAGGAUUGGGAUAACUCCGAGAAAUCGGAGCUAAUACCGGAUAGUUCAACGGACCGCAUGGUCCGUUGAUGAAAGGCGCUCCGGCGUCACCUUGAGAUGGCCUUGCGGUGCAUUAGCUAGUUGGUGGGGUAACGGCCCACCAAGGCGACGAUGCAUAGCCGACCUGAGAGGGUGAUCGGCCACACUGGGACUGAGACACGGCCCAGACUCCUACGGGAGGCAGCAGUAGGGAAUCUUCCACAACGGACGAAAGUCUGAUGGAGCAACGCCGCGUGAGUGAUGAAGGUUUUCGGAUCGUAAAACUCUGUUGUAAGGGAAGAACACGUACGAGAGGGAAUGCUCGUACCUUGACGAUACCUUACGAGAAAGCCACGGCUAACUACGUGCCAGCCGCCGCCGUAA